rnacentral:lncRNA from 1 species
ACUUCCUCCGCCGCACCGGCUCCUACUUCGCAAUCAAUCUGUAUCCUUACAUCACCUACAUGGAUAACCCCCAAAUCGACCUCAACUACGCCCUCGGCCUGCCCAACAGCGGGGUCCGAGACCCCCGCUCUGGUCUCAUGUACUACACCCUCUUCGACGCGCAGCUGGACGCCCUCUACUCCGCCAUGGCGGCGAUCGGCUACGGAGAUGCCGCCACUCCCAUGGCGGGGGAGAGGUCUCAAAACAGGCGGAAUGUGGCGGUCACGGAGAGCGGGCACCCCGCCCUUCCUCCCCACAGGCCGCGUCCAAGAGAGCGCGUGGCGAAGAUCGAAGGAACAGACGCCAAGGAAGAAAUCUGGAACGCCUCCCUCGUCGGAGAGAGGGGGCCCCGCGCGGAGAACGCCCGGGCCUACAACCAGAACCUUAUAAAGAGGAUCCUCGAUGGGAAGACGGGGACGCCGCUGCACCCGGACGCCGACCAGGACAUCUACAUAUUUUCUCUCUUCAAUGAGAAUCUGAAGCAGGGGCCGGAUACGGAGAGGAGUUUCGGGCUCUUCUACCCGGACGGGAAUAAGGUCUACGACGUCAAUUUUCGACCCGGCGGUGGUGAGUCGUGGUGCGUGGCGGACCCGGCGGCGGGGCGCCAGAGGCUGCAGGCGGCGCUUGACUACGCGUGCGGCGAGGGCAGGGCGGACUGCGGGCCGAUACAGCCGGGUGCCGCGUGCUAUGAGCCCAACACGGUGGAGGCCCACGCCUCCUACGCCAUGAACAGCUAUUAUCAAAAGCACGGCCGCGGCGCCGGCGCCUGUGACUUCAACGGUGCAGGCCGCGUCGUCUACCAGCGCCCAGGUGAGGUCACUUGUCACAUCAGUUCUACAAUUUUUUGUCGAUUCAUAGUGAUUUUAUCCACGGCGAUUGUUCUUCCCUUAUAGAAUAACUAGAGAAUAUAAAAUUAGUAAUAAUCCGUAAACCCAUAUAGGAGAGACGAAUACAUGACUGUAGAUUUUGCUACAUAUUCAAGCAACGUCAAAGUUAAUCAUGUGAUGAUCCAAGCCUCGAAAAAAUUUUCUGUUCAUUUUGAUGAUAGUUUUAUGGGGUGUAGUUGUAGGAAGUAUGUAGUUAUCUGUUUAGUAGAUAAAUUUAAUUACAGUGACUUCCUUCAGAUGAUUAAAACUUGAUGCACAACACACUACGUGUACAUUUUGGUGAUGCUGGUGAUGAAAUCAUCUUUUUUGUAUUUUUUAUGAAAUGUUGUUUCCAUGCAUCCAUUGUUCUGCUCGAUUCCUUUCAUUCCUCUCAAUAAUGUGUAGCGAAAUAAAUUUUAAAUUUCUCAUUUUCUUGUAAUUAAAUUUUGUAGCGUUCGGGAACUGCAAGUUGCCAUCCUUCUGAUGAAAACGGAACGAGGAGACUUCUCACAUUAGUCAUAGAGUAAAUGGAGCAAUUUUUGGCGGCCCAGGCUACCUAAAAAUCACUCCUUGUAAUAAAAUGAUUGAUGUAUGAUGGAAUAAAAUGAGCUUUUCUCUACUAUUCGUUGAUUAUCAGGUACAACUUUCAUAAUGCUAUUGACACAACAGUUACCUAAUAUAAGUUAUUCUUCAAAGGGGCCUCAAAAUAAAAUGAAGUAGAGAAACCAGUAGGGCCAUAUGCAUAGACAUGUUUAUUGUCUACUACAGUGAAGAGAAUAGGAAAAUAUCCAAGGGCUUACAAUACAUCAAAAGGAUUUGAUGAUAAAUGAAUUCAAAUUUAAAAUAUGAGCACUAUGAGCAAGGUUAGAUCUUGGCAUUAAAAUUUAAAAAUGAAAAGAAAUAUAAUCUCAACCACUCAAUUUUUAGGUAUAAAGCCAUUAGUAUUAAUGACAAGUAUAUUAUCAAUGUAUCAUGACACUCAUAUUGAGCACAAUCACUUAAUGCAUCCACUAAUUCGCAACAACCUAAAUUAAACACAUAAAAUUUCAAAUAAGGUUAGAUAUAUUAAUAAAUUUAUGACACUGCUAAGAUGAAAUAUCUGCACAUAUUUUGAACCUCUUAAAUACACUUUGCAUCUCACAUUAUGUUAUAUUCUAGAAUAAAGAUAUUUUACUCAACUUAUUAGAAUUAUUUUACUCAACUAUUUUACAUAAGGAUAUCUGAGGUAAUUAAUGUUCAUAUCAUAUUUGAUUCUCAACCAUCGAACAUCUACUUAUUCUAAUAAAAAAGGAUACUAAGAAAUCAUUAGAAUUUGGAAGAUAUUAGUACAUGAUUUGCCUUUAAACAUUUAGGAUUUUCAAUGGCUAAAACAAAAUAGAGGACAAGCAUUCUUAUCUCUCUAAUGACCUUAACAGUUCUACUAGGCUAUUGAAAUAGAGAAAAUCUUUUGAGACUAAGAGAAAUCCUUGUUGGCUGGUCUAUAUGCAAGAAGGCUUCACUUUGAAGUUGAGGAUCAACUAUACAGUAUUCAACAUUAAUCUGUAAUUUGUUGUAACCUAUUGGUUUAUUGAUGGGUAUUUGUUGCCAAUGUUAAAUACUCACUAUCUAAUAAAAUUUAUAACUAAAACUUAACUAAUUAGAGUUAUACAUCAAACACAAGAGUAAGAAUAAACUAUUAUGAAUAUAAAUUUUUAUUUUAUUUUUUAAAGUGAUUCUACAUUUUUGAGAAUUUUUAUAAGUUAAUAUUUUUGGGUUUUUAAUAAAUAGUAAAAAAAGAGGGAGAUAGACAUGGAAUUUUGGAGGGACUAAAGGAAAGAAUUUUGGGAGAUAGAGAUCAGAUUUUGAAGAGACUUUUGAAGGAAAUUUUGGGAGACAUGUGGGAUUUAGAAGGGAUUUUAGAUGAAUUUUUGGUAUAAAAUAGGAGAGAAAAUAAGAAAAUAGAUGAUAAUAGGAGAGAGGAAAAUUGUGGUUAAUGCAUCUGCAUUGACAAUGAUUUCGAGAUGAAUACGUGAGAGAUAGCUCACGAAAAUGGUAUGAAAUCACACUGGAAAAUGCCAUAAUCAAUUUCACACCUAUUUUUAAGGAUUAGAAAUUGAGAAUAAUACUAGAAAAUCAGAGAAACAUAGCUGUAAAAUUACCAAAAAAUCAAUUCACUGUCAUGAAAAAAUGGCAAGGAUUUUCAGCUAGAUUUUUUGAUCAAAAUAAAUGUGAAAUGAUGUGAAAUUAUUCUUAGGAUGGUUUUUUAUGAGUUAUAGAAGAGUAGAGACAAAAAAGAAUAAUUUGGAUUAAGUUGUCAAUGAGUUCUUUUGAUUCUUUCUGAUAAACCUCUAGAAAUCAUUUUUCAUUAUAAAAAUAAAAUAAAACAUGAAAUAAAUUUGAAACUAACAUUGUCCUUUGACGAAUGUCUCUAAAUCAGCAAGAGACACUAGUGUAAUACUUGUAUAUCAUUUGGUCAUAUCACAUCACAUUGGAAGGCAUAUGAAGAUCGUUUAGUAGCUUUGUGAUGUUCACUAGAGGCUCUAACUAUGCAGAGGGGAAGAAGACAUAAUAUCCAUCGCUAAUGAACUCUAUACUCUUUUAUUUUGCAUGCAAUAAUUGAAAUAUCUAUUUUACAACACAUUAAUUGAUAAUUGUUGAUAUGCCCUAGUGAGAGUUCAGUGCCUUGGUCAUGUGGCACUUUCUUUGCCAUUUGAUCAAUCUAUUGUGCAUUGUUAGAUCAGUCACUUUUUUCCGAAGGUAUGCAACACUUUGUACAUCAUCAAAUUGCCAUGCUUUGAGCUAUUAGAUCUAAUGCCUAGGGAGUACAUGACACUUUUGAAAAAGCUAAGAUAAUCUAGUGUUAGUUCCAAGUAUCGAAUCAUUGCCAAUCUAUCACUCAAAUAAGGGAGACAUGACAUGUUUUAGGACAUCAGAUGAGGCAAAUGUCAUGAUCCAAUGGUCAUAAUUAAAUGUUGUAAAAUAGACACAAAAAUUGUCCCACAUUGGUUAUUUUGGUGAACUUUUUGCAAUAAUAUAUCCAAACCUCUUCACCACGUUAGGUACUUUUUUGUAAACAUAUAACUGGAUUUUAUCAGUACUUCCCAGGGUUUGACCCAGAUUGAGGCUUGGGUGGUGCAACAGGCCUUGAAAUGUCUUACCUCUUGGCUUAGAAAUGACAUAUCAUCCAUGAUUUGAUGACAUGCACUUUGCUCCUCGCUGACUCAUGUUGCACAAUUGUGUGCCCACUAGACUAAAUAUUGGAUGUGUGAGGCCCUUGGGCCCUAGCUAUUGAGUGUAAACACCCAUGAAAUAUUUUUUAUAUUUUUAAAAUUAUUUAUUUAUUUUAUAAAAUAAUAGUCAAUAUACUUUAAUCUAAAAUAAACCAUUAAAAUUAGCUAAAAUUCAUAAAAAGGAUGAGAACACUUUAAAAUUUUUUCUUCAACAUUUAUAACUUAUUUCUAUAAAAUUCAUGCAACAUUUUACUAGUUUAGGUCACAUCACAUGUAAAAGUGAGAUAUUAUCAUCUAUCUACUCGUUUGUCUAUAAGCACACAAAAAGUGGCCAACAAAAAGUGAUAUUAAAGCUUCACCCUCUUCGUUAUAAUUUUGGAUGCACUUUUAGUCAGUAUCUCAUAAAAUAAAAUCCCACAUUUACACCACUUAUAUUUUUAGAGGGAUAUAUGUGAUAUUAAAUAUUUAUUUGAUCACUCAUAAGAGGUGCCCUACUAAGUAAUUGUUGAACUCCGGAGUUUUGAAUCUAAAAGAUAAAUUUAGGAAGUGAAAUUUGAAGGGACUUUAGUUCACAAUCCAAGAUCUUCCCAAGUGUGGGGCCAAUGAAUAUGGUUUAUUUGUCGAGAGUAAAUGUAUCAAUUAAAUUGUUUACUUCGUUUCACAAUAAAUAUUUUUCCCUAUGUAUGAACUUAUGCAUAAAAUAUAAUAAUCAUGUAUCACUUAUCAUAUAGAAACGACAUAUUAUUACUCCACACCUAAGCAAGGUGUGAAAAGAUCUUUGAAAAGAUUUGAUGAUCUUUGUUUUCAGUGUAAUAAAUUUAAUCAUUUCAAAGUUGAUUGUUUUCUAUUGAAAAAUAAAGAAUUGAAGUAUUAGAAUAAAGUCAUGGUAGUGACAUAAAGUGAAAUCAAUUCCAAUUUAAAUAAAGCUAAAAAACGUAAAUCAAUGUUUACUGACAAAAUCUUUAGAGGUACAUGAUGCUCACAUUUCUUCCUUAUCUAAAGAACAAUUACUUGAGGAUUUUUAUGAAUUGCUGAAUUCAUUUAAAAUUGUUAGGCAUCAUUUUAUUACCAAAAUGAGAAAAUAAAACCCUUAAAGAAUGCAUUCAACUUGUGGAAAAUAAACAGAAACAUCAGAAAAUCUUAGUUCAAAUAUUAGAAGAUUAAAGUGAAAAGAUAGUUAAUAUAAAGGACCAAAAACAUGACAGAAAACUUCUUAAAAAAAAACAUUCUUUUCUAAAAUUAAUGAACUGCAGAAAGAUGUUGGUUUAUUGAUAGAAGAAAAAUCCAUUGACCUCAAAAUAAAAAAGGUUAAAAAAACUAAGGACCUAAGAUUCAAACGUCCUUUAUAAAAAUAUGAGAAUAUAUUCUCAUAACUACUUAAGGGCCAUUUUCUUUUACCUUUUUAUUAGUUUUUUUAUCUUUAAUUAUUUUUUCAACAUAUUCUCAUUCUAUUUUUGAGUGGCAAUUAGAGAUAUUCAUGCUUUAUUUCAUUUCAAUGUUUUUACUUGGAAAGAUAAUUAGUUUGGGUGACAAAUGAGGUCUUCACUAAUCCAAAUCUCUAUUCUUUUUUGCAGUUUCUUUAUUUAAGAAUAAUUAUAGUUUUGAUUAGUUUCUUUGAACAUCAUUUCAACACCAGAAGGUUCUUCUUUGCAUCAUUCAACCAUCUAUCCAAUCAAAUAUUAUGUGAAAUAGGUUCUGCAGCAAAAGGAUCUGUUAUUUAUUGAAAGAACCUAUAGAAGAGUGAUAAGUCACAUUAUGGUGUGGAUAGCUGGUGAGAUGAACAAGAUAGUUUUGUGCAGUUUCUUAGUGAUAACUAAUUAAUUAAAAUUUGAAGAAUAGAAGUAAGCAUAAUAGUAUUGACGAUUAUCCCUGUCAUUGACCUAGAUUCACCUAAUUUUAAGUUCACUUUCCCUUUUUGAAUUCAUUUAAUAAACCUUUAGAUUUGAUUUUUUUUUUGCUAAUAAUGAUUAGAGCACAUCAAUGUCCAUAUUGGCUCCAAAUUUUACCUCAAGUUUCAUUGAUCUUUAGUUCACAUAGUAAACAUGUCACUGUCCAAAUGCUCUAUUUAAAACUUAAAUACCUCAGUCUUUUUCUCAUUUUCUUGAUGACUUAGUACGUGUAUAUCGGAAGGAUCCUAACUAACAUCAAAUGCCCUUGUUUGUGCCAAUUUAUACCUAUUUAACCCUUAAUUUUCAAAUGAUUCUUUAGCUAAGGUAGACUAUUCUUGAGAUAGAGGAUCACUUAAUCUCAAGGAUCAAUGCUUGAAAUGUGAUUAUUAGUCAAAAUAUCAAAAAAAUAUUUAAUAAAUAAUUCAUAUAAUAAAUAUGUUGAACGUAUUAGACAUUUGAAAUAUAUAAGUUAUUUAUGUAAAGUCAAUAUUAAAUAAUCACUUAUCAAUAAAUUUUCACUUUUAGUUAUAAAAACCAAGGACAUCAACCCCUCUCUUAUUAUCUCCAAAUAUUUGAUAUAUUUGAUGUCACUUAAUACUAAUGCAUCAUUUAUUCCCUCUAGAACAUGCAUAUUAUCGACAUAUAAUGCAUUGCAUCAUGCCUAUUUACAUGUAGUAAGGGUUUAUUUUCCUAAUACAUUUUAGAAAAUUUCUCAUAAAAUAUAUGCUAAUUUUGACCAUGUUUUCAUAUAUGAUCUAAAUUAACACUCUAGUAUAUUUUAUGGGAAAGAUUAUAUUUUACAUUGAAGGCAUAAUCUCUAAAUAUUAUAAAACUUUAAAUUUUAUUAUGCAAAUUUAUAUUAAUAUGAGUUUUGGGAUUUAAUUUGAUGUUUUUUGACUUUUCAGGAAUUUUAUAGACGGAUUAUGCAAAAAAUAUAAAUAGAAAGUGAGGAAGCCCUAGGUCAUGGGGUCAGUGGUCGGUACACAUGAGAUGAGGAGGCAGUGCACUGAGACAAGAGCUUCAUCUUGCCUACAGCAAGCUCUCUUGACGCUCGUGAGGGUGGUAGGCAGCAUGCAUAGAGAUUCUCUCAGGUGACAGCUCAAAGAACUACUUUGUCUUGCUGCAACAAACUCUUCCAAGGCUUGUGAGGUAACUGGUGGUGCAUGGAGAUCCUCUAGAGUGACAACUCAGAGGAUGGCUCUUCGUGUAGCCAAGGCGGAAGGGUUGUAGCUCCCCCUCCUCACUAGAUGUUGGAAGCAUCUAAAAGAAUCACUCUUCUUCCUCAACCUAGAGGCUGAAUCUGGUCCCAACCCUUUUGUUUUAUGUUUUCGUAUUCUAUUUAGGGCAAUUAAUCCAGAAUCUGCAUUGUGAUUGAGAUUUUGGAAGCACCAAGCCUCCAAGUGAAUAUAUGGUAGUGUAUUUAUUUUUUUACUCUGAAUUUUUCAAAACCCUUUUCUCCCAAUCUAUUCAAGCAAUGGAUUUUGGAAACAUUGUGCCACCAGACAGUCUAUGAGAGUUUGCUUAUUAUUUUUAGUAUUAAAGUUUAUUUUUUAUUUUCUACUAAUUAAUGAUCAAAUCUUUAGACAACUUCUCAUUUUCUCCCUUUAUUUGUCCUUUUCUGUUCUUUGUAGCCACAGAAAAAUAAUGAUUACAUAAUUAUAUUGUUAGAGAAUAAUUCCAAAGAUUAAGAAUUUUCUCAUAUUGCAUUCCUUCCCUACAGAUUUCACUUGAAAUAAUCAUACGCCCAAAUUAAUCUUUAUCUUAGUGUAGGUUUCAGUUUUUUAUAAAUUUUUAAAUUGUGGCCCAGAUCUUCAUCCUCUAAACAAUGACAAUUUUUUACUGCAUCACUUGACAUAAUUAUACUCUCUUGGAAGAGUCUUCUCUUCAUGAUUUUCCUAUAAUCUAUGGAGUACUACAUCAUCAUUGACUAAAAUUUUAUGAAAUUCAAUUGAUAAUAAUUCAAAAUCAUCUUUAGGAGAAACUUCCUUUUAUUUCCCUUUUAAAUCUCACAUUUAUUAAUUGUUCAAUGAAUAAUGCCCUUCAUUGAAAUUUAAAUGCUCUCAAAUUUUCAUCUUUAGUGCAAGAGAUAAACCAUAGUUUGAUACCUGAAAGGUGCUCUCAUUUAUUAGAAUUUUCUGAGGUGUCAAAUCGUUGGUGCCCUUUAAUUGGAUGAUGCACAGAGUGUCAUGUCGUCUUGUCUUUUUGAAAGGCGGCGAGGUCUAAAUCUCAUGUCUGCAUGAUCUAACUACACACAAAGCUCCAUGUACCUCCUAGACAUAAGUGAUAGAUUGACCAGUGGGUAGUGGAUCAAUUGGACGAUGAAUAAAGUGCCAUGUGACCUACCCCACUUAAGUGAUGUUGCCUCUCUCUUUAGGGUGUAAAAAUAAUAAUUAGUUGUCAUCAAGUAAAAUAGGCAUUAUCGAUUAUCACCAGCAAAAAUAAAACCCCUAUAGAGUUAGAUGAUGGAGGUAUUUUGUCUUCUUCUUCUUUGUGCGGUCAAAAAACUUUAAUGACUAGCAAUCUCUCUUCCUAACUCCCUCAAUUGCAUUCAAAGCCUCUCACGAGUAGUCUUCCUCCCCUAGACAAUAGUAAUAGUAACAUCAAUCCUUCUUUCCAUAGAAUUCUUAUGGCAAGUAAAGUAGAGCUUUUAAACAAUUAUUAUGUGACUUCCAACAUAGUGUGACAUUAGUAGAUGAUACAAAAUCAUCACAUUGGUAUCUCUUGUUGCUCCAAAGGUAGAGCAAUCAUGAUGCAGGAUGGGUGGGUAACCUCAUCCUAACAGUGAAGUGUGGGGUGAAAUAAUAAGGGAAGGGACCUUAUAUGCCAUGAGUAAUGUUAACUAAGGGAUCUAGAUGACAAAUGCUGACUCAACCAAGUGCAAGCAGGUACUGAAGAGUAGUGAAGUUGGCGAUACAUCGCAUCAAAGCAUCACCAAAUGGUGCUAGUGUAGGGUGAUCCUCCAUGUCCAUGUCUAAGUGGCAAGGACCCAAUGUCGUCAACGCAAUUCAGCCGCAAAAGUUCAACGACCAACAUGACAAUUCUAGUGUGCACGUCAGAAUUACACGAUGGAGAAGCUAAACCUAUCUCAACCUAACUAGGUCCUAUGGCAGUGGAGCAGGUGCGAAACAAUAUUGAGCGUAGUAAAUGACUCGGUGGAGAGGAGAUAAGGGCUAACCUGUGGGCCGAGGCCUGGUCAAUUGUGGUGGAGUGGGGAGUUCUCGUAUGAGAAUAGGGCCGAUGGCAGCACAGAAGUGUGAGCUUUGGAGGUGGCGGACAGUGGCGGCUGGCAAUGCUGCACCUUGGCAGUAGGUUCCCUGCCAGCACACAAUGGUGCACUAGUGACACACGAGCCAUCGUGCGAUUGGCAUGUGGACUUGCAUGCAGGUGGUGGCACCAGGUGGGCACUAGACACACAUGCAGGCACACAGUUGGCAUUUAGGGGGGGUGCACAAGAGCAGAGCUGGGUGAAUGCCUAGCAGGUCUGGAGUAAGGGGCAUGACUAGGCGACUUGCGGUGCACGAGUGUCCCUGGUUGGGCGCAGUGACAGGCCCCAUGGGGCAGGUGCAGUGACACACAAGCAGGCAUGCGACGCGAGUGCAGAGGCAUGGUAACGAUCGUGUGACGAGUGCACGGCAGGGCAUGUGGCAAGCACACAGCAAGAAUGCACGGCUGGUGGGCGCUUAGGGCUAGUGUACUGGUGGCAGUGCACCAAGUGGCCGGUGGCCCAGUGGCGGCGGUGGCAGUUGGGCGGUGCCCUCUUCCCCUCAUACUCUCUCUCUCUCUCUCUCUCUUUGAGUGAGGCUCUCAACCAAAAUACACAUUCUUACUCAAAUUGAUGACUGCCUUUUGGUGGUGGCUCUCCACCCCCUUAUAUAGGGGCCCACAUGGGCCAAGGGUGGAGGGCCACGCUUGACGUCCAAAGAAGCCAACCCCAAAAGAAACAUGCAUAGAGUCUAGGGUGGAUCCUCCUCUCCAAUUGGGCCUAAACAAGAAUGGCCCAGAAGAGAAUAGAGGUGAGGGAAAAAAGGACACCUUCUUCUCCAAUUGGGCCCAACCACGUAUGGCCCAAAAAGAAAAGGGGGGAAGAAAAGAAAAGAAACAAAAGGGGAAUGGGCCUUUUCAUCUCCACCAUAGGCCCAACACAUGCCCUAGGGAUAGGAGGCCUCACGUGUGGCAAAGCUAGAACCCAUGCGGUUCACGGAUGUGGGAAAAGAGUGACAAAAAAAACAUAAGAUGAGAAAACAUAAAAGCACCUAAGUGGUAUAGCAGAACCUGAGGUCAUUCGUCUUUACUUGUGUUACUCAAUUCGGCUGAAUACAUGUAGGCGGGGUCUCCUCUAUUGCCUCAAGCCCGUGUAGUGGUGGAGAUGGGUCUUGUUCACCACCAAAUCAGAUCACAAUAUUAGUAUUAACUUUUUUUAGCUUUAUAUUAGAUUUUAGUCACAAACGAUAAUUUUUGGAUGUUCACUGGAAACAAUGCAUAGAACUUGAUGAAUAUUUGAUAAAAAGGCUUCUUUUUUGUCUAAAAUCUUACAUAACUCAUCCUAAAUCAACCUAAAAAAUCAUUUUGAAUCAUUUUUCAUCAACUUCCAUCGAGAAAUCAAACUCAAAAUUCUUGUUAUUUUUCCAAGCAUGUGAACAGAAUUUUUGGGAUAUUUUUCUGAUAUUGAAGUUGUUCGCCAAGUUGCUAGUUUGAUUUUAAUCAUUUAAUCCUUAUUAUUUGGUGUGAAACUGAUUUAGUUAUUUUUAGGCUUGAUUCUACAUUUUUUGUGAAUUCUGACAUAUUAGUUUGAAAAUAACAUGGUGCAAGAUGUGUUGACCCAUGAUUUUCUCCUCCUAUUUAUUGUCUAUUUUCUCUCCCUCCCCCUUAUUUUCUCUCUAAUUUUAUCCCUUAAAUUCCUCUAAAAAUUACUUCAAAAUACCACGUUUCUAUCUCCCUAAUUUCAGCCCUUUUAAUCCUUUAUAAACUCAACAUAUAUCUUCCUCUUCCCCCUCUAUCUUAUUAUCUCUCUUCUUUUCUCUACCAUAUUCCCUUUGAAAUCCCUUUCCACCCUCCAAAUUUUCUAGUCUAAAUUUAAUUCUCUUUUUAUUAUUCUUUCACCACAAUAAACAGAGAGAAAUCGUAACUUAUUAUUACUCAUAUUUUUAUUUCAUUUAAAUUAUUAAAAAAUAUAAAAAAACAUUAUAAAAUUCCAAAAAAUUAAAAUUACUUCAAAACUAAAAUCAACUUUUAUCUUCAGGAUAGAUUAUUCCUACUCUCUAUGCUUGACCUGAGACUUAUUUUAAUAUUAAAUAUUAUCUAAGUUUCAAGCAUAAAUAUUAUUAGAUAGUGGGUAUUUAACACCAAUGACAAAUAUCCACUAAUUAGACAUUCAACUACUUAAUUAAAAAGAGUCUAAUAUACUCAAACAAAAUGGUUCUCUUGCUGGAUCUGAAGCAGCUGAUUCUUUUCUACUUUAUGUCCUUUUGGUAAAUUAUACAAAUGGAUUCCCUUUUUGUGAUUCAUGAUUGCCGCAUAUCCAAAUGUACUUAGAAUUUUGAUUACGACACAUCCUAUCCACUAGUACCUACUAAUGUCAUUUUCAGUAAAAACUAAAAUUGACUUCAUAGUAAAAUUUUUAUGUCAAGCUUAAGAGAAAUUGGGCAAUUUCUGCCAAUGAUUUCAUCUUAGAUGAUUGACUUAUUAUAUUAAAUAAAAUUAUCAAAUUAUUUUAUCAUUGAAUGGCAUUAGGGUCUUACUUCUCCAAAUCUUGGUUUUAACUUAUAAACCUAUCAUUUUUUGGAUUUUAAAUUUUGAUAUUCAUGAUAAUAUACUUAGAAUAUUUCAUGCCUAGGGAGAAGAAGUUAAACCUAUAUUACAUUGGGCUUGUUAUGUUAUGUUCUUAAAUCAGUUCAAUUUCUCAUGUAUGUUAUAGAGAACAUAAGAUAGUUUAGCGAACUAUGUCAAAUUGUCACAUCAUAAAGAUAGAGGUAAGCAUAGCCCCUAAACUGAGUUUUUUAUACACUUUGACAAAAUUCAAGCCAUGAAAAGGAUGAUUGGGUUCGAAAUGCGAGAAGCACCUAAAGUAAGCAAAAUAUUGAUAAGACCUAUUGAAUUUUAGUUACCAAUUAUAUCCUUGUGAAAUUGAAUAGAAUUUUUUUUUCUCUAUAUAUAUACUUCAUUUUACAUGGAAAGACAAAAUGGCUCAUGCAAUCAUGGUUUAAUGAAUGAUGAUUGUUUAUUUUCAUAUUUUUAACAAAAUUGCAUGUCUUCAUAGUUAAAUAAACAAGGUGUAAAACAUACUAAUUUCACUUUUUUCGAAACCUAAAAGUAUUGAACUAAAAAGUAGGAUCUUAGAAAUAAUUUUUUUUUUGGGGUUAAAACUACAAAAAUCCUAUAUUGUACCAUUAAAUAUAAGACCUAAAUAUUACAUAGAAUAUCUUAUUAAAUAUAAUGACCCCUCCUCUACUGUGCAUUAAGUAGUUAAUUAUCUUGGAGGAUACAAAUCAUCAUGAUAUGUGGCGAGUCGGGGGUUAAAUAAUCAAAAUUUAAGGUUUCUAUAUUCAAAGCUCUUCGCUUCUCCGCCGAGGAGCCUACAUCCACGUGGGACCUUAUGUCAGCAAUGAGUGGGAACGAAGACGCAGGCGGCAGAAGUAACCAGCUGGAUUUCUCCGCACGAAUCAAGUCAAACAUGGACAAAAGGGACGGUGGGGGAGCGAGCGAGAGAGAGAGGUGAAAUGACAUUAUUCGUCACGUGAGGUGACCAUUUGAGAAUCGAUAAGAACGAAGGGCAAGUCAACAUCGGCGGAGGAAUACUGCUCACACCAAAUCUUGCCAUCUCUCGUUAUCCGUAACGUAACCUAAAAUAAACCCUUUCAGAAAACUUGAUUGCAUACGCUUUGCUUGUAAAUCAAUCAUCUUCCUAAAAAUAACAAUUUCCAAAUAAUUAUAAAAUUGUUAACAGUACUAAAACUCUUGUCCCAAAACACAGCAAAACCUCCCCUUUUAUCAGACGAUCUUCCUGUACACUCCAGCUCUGAAUAACUCCCUCUCUGAUCAUAGAAUCAUUCCUUCACGUUCCGAUUUCCUAGUCAAGAUAAACGGGGUUUUGAUUGGAAUUUUGGGUGUACGCCCAAAUUUUUGUGCUUUGAGCUGCGCCUAGUUUUGUUUGGUUAGGAAAUACACCCUACUCUUGGCUUUAGAGACCUCAAAACUGUUGCAAAUUAACCCCGUCAAGCCACUCUUCCUUGAUUGGAAUACUAAUUACGAAAUAAUCAUCUUGGGGAUUCUAGAAAGGAGUAUGCUUUUUAUCAAAGAGAUAUAUCAUAGAAUAUUUUGGUAAAAAAACUAGCAUUGUGGCACAUCACAUUGUCCCACAUUUGAUAUUCUCCUAGCUGGCGCCGGCGGCUAACCGACUUGCGUCACGAUCCCGUCUCUUUCCACCUUCAAAUGGGGGAUAUAAGAUGGACUCACCUCCACCGGGGAGCAUCAACGGCGAUGGGGAAGACUGAGAAGAACGAAAUUAGGAUGGGGCUUCCCCCCCGGCCUCGCCUCUUCUCCUUCCUCCUCGUCCUCCUCGCCUCAGCGUCCUCAGGUGAGCCGGAAUGGCCUGCCCCUCACCCUUCUCCGCCAUCCUAAGUUCUAAACUGGUUCUGAUUAUCCGUGUCUUGCAGCGGCAGGAGGAGUCAUCGGGGUGGAUUAUGGCCGGGUGGCCGACAAUCUGCCUCCGCCGAGCAGGGUGGUGGAGCUCCUCAAGGCCAACGGCAUCACCGCAGUCAGUAUCUACGACACCGAUGGCGAGGUCCUCCGCGCCUUCGCCGGCUCCGGUAUCAGGGUAUCUGUGGCGCUCCCCAACGAUAAGCUAGCCGGCGCCACCAACCCCGACGUCGCCGGCACCUGGGUAUGGGAGAACAUAGGCAGGUACUACCCCGCCACCCAGAUCGAGGCCAUCUCCAUCGGGAACGAGGUCUUCCACCUGCGGCCCGACCUCACCUACGCCAUUGUCCCGGUCAUGUGGAACGUUUACAAUGCCCUGAAAAACCUCGGGCUGGCCGGCGCCAUCAAGGUCUCCUCCCCUGUCUCCUUCUCCGCUUUCGAUAAGUCAUUUCCGCCAUCCGAGGGCAGCUUCCGCGGCGAUCUUCAGCCGAUCGUGCGGCAGAUGCUGGACUUCAUCCGCCGCACCGAUUCCUUCUUCAUGAUAAACCUCUACCCCUACUUCACCUACAUGGAGAACCCCGGCAUCGACCUCAACUACGCCCUCGGCCUUCCCAACAACGGUGUCCGCGACCCCCGCACCGGCCUUAUGUAUUACAGCCUCCUCGACGCCCAGCUAGACGCCGUAUACUCCGGCAUGGCCGCGCUUGGCUUCGGAGACCACCUCGGUAAUUCUACGAG